AUAGGCCUGGCUUUUUAGCUUUUUGAAACUGUUAACAUAGAUUUAAGUGCAACAGAGGAGGCAUGAAGCCAUGAAUGUUUUACUGGAAUGCUCUGGAUCAUCUCUCAGCAGCACUGGUUUCAGCUUCAAGGCUUUUCACCAAGGUUUCAGUGUUGGAUAAAACAUAUGAUUUCCCAGGUCAAGAAUGUAGAUGAGUUAUAGGAAAUUGACUUUGUAAAGCAUUAAAGGUUAG
rnacentral:lncRNA from 1 species